CCAUAGGAAACAAAUACUGGAGGGACUUUACCUUUAUUGUUGCAAUCCUGCAUCUUCAGUUUCUCUUUCUUGAGACCUUCUAUUUCUCAGUCCAAGCAUGCAUCUCAUUCCACCUCCCCUUGACUUCUGUGGAGAACCAGACCCAGAGACUCACAUAUGCCAGGCAAUGCUUUCCCAGCUUGGUUAAUACGCUGUAUCCCCACCCUGGGAUAAGUCAGUUUUCAUAUGUACCCUAAGCCCUCAGCCACCAUCUCACAUACUCACAUGCAUCCUAAGCAUCUCGGGGAUGGCUUUUCUAGACUCUCCUUCGUUUAAACUGCAGAGACUGAUCUGAUUCCUUCAUGGGUUGCCUCCAACCAGACAGCUCCCACUCCAAGUCUUUACUGUUUUCCCCUCUUGAUGCCCUCUAGGGCAUCCCUUCUCUCUGCUCCUAUGAAGUCAAUUGAGCUUUUAAGACCCAAACUAGUGCUUGCUCCUGUGGGAACAUUUUUCCAUCAUUUCCCCCAAACAUUAGUGAUUUUGUUUUCUGAAAUUUUCUGCAGUGUGGUCACUGCAUUUAUGUAUCUUUGCUCAUGAGCUGGUGACAUUUUCCACCCUUUCUGACUUGAGUUUUUUUUUAAGCUGUGUAAUACUAAAGAUGGUGUCUUCAUCCUUUUUUAUAUGCUCUCGGAAGUCCUGAGCACAGUGAUAAGAGCACAUUAAGACUUAAAUAAACUCAUGCUUGAGAGUUACAGAGCAGUCACGGGUUACCAAGCAAAGAUAGCCAGUGAUUUUCAGUGGGAGAUGAUGUGCCUCAUCAAGCAGAAUUCUCUGAGGAGGUCACUAAGCAUGUGGACAUCAUUUCUUUAACCUUUCGAAAACGUCUUGACAAGCUUCCAUACCAGAGGUUAUUUAAAAAUAAGAAUGAGUCACGAUGAGAUUGUGGGGAAUGUUUUGUCAUGGUUAGGGAGCUGGCUUUCGGAUCGGAAACAGCCCAAACCAACUCUUCUUGUAACAAAUUCCAUAUGUUUUCAACCUUCCGCCUGAAGAAAAUACGGCUCCUUUGUAAAUGGGAAGGUCGUGUGGGGGGAGACCCAAAAAGAUACUCAACUUGGUUUUUAUUACCAUCUUUUGAAAGAGAGAUCUUACAAUCCAAUCUACCCCAGAAUGCCAAGUUAAGAGAGACCUCGAGUUUGGCUCGAGCCAUCUUUGGGAGGAUACAUGUCAUCAACGAAGUGACUGAUGAGCCGGAACCCUGGCAGUGGCAAGAGGAGAGUAAGCACAGGCUUCUCUCAGGAGGUGAUGAGUUCCGAGGUAUCCUUUACCACUGGGCAAGGGAACCAAGACGUUCAGUUCUCAGUCUCAACGACAAAUUCAAAACCGGGCCAUUGCUUACUGAAGAAACCAGGAGGACACGAGCUGACAAAUUGGCAUUCAACAAAUUCUUGGCAUGAAGCUUGAAAACAGU
rnacentral:lncRNA from 1 species